AUUCCGGUUGAUCCUGCCUGAGGUUACUGCUAUCGGUGUUUGACUAAGCCAUGCGAGUCAAAUGUUCUUCGUGAACAUGGCGUAAUGCUCAGUAACACGUGGAUAACCGGCCCUCAGGUCCGGCAUAACCUCGGGAAACUGAGGAUAAUUCCGGAUAUCCCUUUUCUGUUGGAAUGACUUAAAGGGCCAAAGAAUUUCGCCUGAGGAUGGGUCUGCGGCCUAUCAGGU
rnacentral:rRNA from 1 species